rnacentral:tRNA from 1 species
GGGAAGGUAGCUCAGUGGUAGAGCACUUGCCUUGCAUGCAUAAGGCCCUGGGUUCAAUUCCUCAGCACCA